rnacentral:lncRNA from 1 species
CUAAUGAUAAACAGUCGGCUAGCGAAUACGUUAAUAAAUAAUAAAAUAUAUAUAUUCGGAGAGGUUGAGACAUUUACAGGAACCAAGACCAAUCGGCAAACAACCAGCACAUGGAUUCUUCUGACCAUCUCAGUAACAUGCCAGACGGCAUCAGCGUUGUCAUGAAUCUGGAAAGUGGAUCCGGCAAUAACAGACCACAAAGUGGAGGAGGCUUUUGUGGAGGAGGACGCAACAAGGGCACACAACGCGGUAACGAUAGAAGCAAUCAUGAUCGUCCAGUGCAUCAAAAUCUAUAGAAAGCCACGGUGUAGGGACUACAACGGUUGCAUUUGAUGGUGACCCAACGGCAGCUUUGAUUACGUUUGCUACUAGUGCAUAAGCUCUCUAAGUGCAAUUGGAUGUACUGAAGCUGUCCUCAACAAUAGGUUUAUCAAGGUCUACUGGCACAACAAGGAAGAUUCUCAGUAUGGUAAUAAAUCAGGUGAUAGAAAAGAAGGAAGCAAGUCACAAGUCACAGAACGAAUCAUCCUUCCAUCUAAAGAUGAGUUGUCAAUCAACAAGGAGAAACCAGAUAAUAAAGAAAAGCAUCUGUUGACGACCAAGACCUGCUGUUCAUCUGUGAAGCUGUGGGCUCUGAUUGGAGGAGACUAGGAGUGCCACUUGGACUUGAAUGGAACAAGAUUAAUGGCAUAGCAGACAACAACACACUGAAAGAUGGCGUCAUGGAAACUCUGGCGUUGAGAGAACAGGGACUCGUUCAACUUGCGGAACAAUUGUGUGAAAGCUGUGGUAACAAAGGUGACCUCAAUGCUGCUUCAAAUCUACCUCAAGUUUCAGCAAAACAUUGACUAGUACGAGGGUACAUUCAAGAUGCUAAUCUAUUAGUUAUAUCUGAGAUGUUGGGUAGAGGUUGGAAAACUGUUACUAGGAGUCUUGAAAUAACAUAAGCAGAAAUUGAUGAUGUAGAUACAAAGUUUCAGAGACAGAUUGUGGGAACUACUUUAGAAAUGCUUAUCCGAUGGAGGAACAGACAAAGAACAAAUGUAAAUCAACUCACAAUAUUGAAGCCAGAAUUGAUUGUAAAUGAUAACAAAAUCGCUGCUAAUAUAUUAGACACAUACUACCAACAACAGCAGCAACUUGAAAGAACUUUAAUCAAUAAAUUAGAGUUGUACCUGUAGGAAAAGACAAGACGAACAACAAUGCAGUUAUCUGAGUCACAGCCACGUUGAGGGCAGUGUCACAUCCAUGUUGUUUUUUUGAAUCACUAUCAGAAAGAACAAAACAAUUUCAAUUAAGAUAUUAGGCUAUACUGAAAGCAGAGAAAAACUAAUCUCGCUGGAGUCCAAGAAAUUGGGAACACACCUUAUAUUUUGUUUACUACUGUAUAAAGAAUUGUCUCUGUGAAGUGAGCUAGCAUGGACAUCACCACGCACUAAUUAAAAAGUAGAUUUAUUAAUAAAACUCUUUAAACCAGAUCUUCAAGCAGACUUUUUGCUUUCAAUUUGGAAACGCUGUAAUGAAAUUAUGUAAAAUUACGUAAAAUGAGGACAAAUAAU